AGAGUUUGAUCAUGGCUCAGAAUGAACGUUGGCGGCGUGGAUUAGGCAUGCAAGUCGCACGAGACACCAAUUAGCUUGCUAAGAGGUAGACAGUGGCGAAAGGGAGAGUAACGCGUGGUUACUUGCCCUCGAGACCGGGAUAGUGUCGGGAAACUGGCAGUAAUACCGGAUAACAUCUUCGGAUCAAAUGGUGUGAUUCCGCUCGAGGAUAGGACCGCGUACUAUUAGCUUGUUGGUGAGGUAACGGCUCACCAAGGCUGCGAUGGUUACCGGGUGUGAGAGCAUGGCCCGGCUCACUGGGACUGAGACACUGCCCAGACACCUACGGGUGGCUGCAGUCGAGAAUCUUCGGCAAUGGACGAAAGUCUGACCGAGCGACGCCGCGUGCGGGAUGAAGGCCCUCGGGUUGUAAACCGCUGUCAGUAGUUAGGAAAUCCAUGAGGGUUAUCUCUCAUGGUUGACCGAUCUUCAGAGGAAGGACGGGCUAAGUUCGCGCCAGCAGCCGCGGUAAGACGAACCGUCCAAACGUUAUUCGGUAUCACUGGGCUUAAAGCGUGCGUAGGCGGCUUGGUAGGUGAGAUGUGAAAGCCCACGGCUCAACCGUGGAAUUGCGUUUCAAACCCCCAAGCUCGAGGAAGAUAGGGGUGAUGGGAACUUAUGGUGGAGCGGUGAAAUGCGUUGAUAUCAUAGGGAACACCGGUGGCGAAAGCGCAUCACUGGAUCUUUUCUGACGCUGAGGCACGAAAGCUAGGGUAGCGAACGGGAUUAGAUACCCCGGUAGUCCUAGCCGUAAACGAUGAACACUGGGUUGAGGGGAC
rnacentral:rRNA from 1 species